ensembl:lncRNA
AAAGUAAAGUGUAGUAAAGGGAAGUGUAGUAAAGGGAAGUGUAGUAAAGUGUAUUAAAGGGAAGUGUAGUAAAGUGAAGUGUAGUAAAGGGAAGUGUAGUAAAGUGUAUUAAAGGGAAGUGUAUGUAAGGGAAGUGUAGUAAAAGGAAGUGUAGUAAAGUGUAUUAAAGGGAAGUGUAGUAAAGGGAAGUGUAGUAAAGUGUAGUAAAGUAUAAGUGUAAUAAAGGGAAGUGUAGUAAAGUGUAGUAAAAUGAAGUGUAGUAAAGUGUAUUAAAGGGAAGUGUAUUAAAGUGAAGUGUAGUAAAGUGUAAUAAAGGGAAGUGUAGUAAAGUGUAGUAAAGGGAAGUGUAGUAAAGUGUAUUAAAGGGAAGUGUAGUAAUAAAGGGAAGUGUAGUAAAGGGAAG